rnacentral:rRNA from 1 species
CGUGGAUCGAUUUGUCUGGUUUAUUCCGAUAACGAGCGAGACUCCAGCCUACUAACUAGUGUGGGCAUUGCCACUGUGCUCUUACACUUCUUAGAGGGAUUGGCUGCGUCUAGCGGCACGAAACGGAGCAAUAACAGGUCUGUGAUGCCCUUAGAUGUCCGGGGCUGCACGCGCGCUACACUGGCAAAGGCAGCGUGCUUGUCCGUCUCCGAAAGGAGUCGGUAAACCCUUGAAAAUUUGCCGUGAUUGGGAUCGGAAAUUGCAAUUAUUUUCCGUGAACGAGGAAUUCCUAGUAAGUGCGAGUCAUCAGCUCGCGUUGAAUACGUCCCUGCCCUUUGUAC